rnacentral:lncRNA from 1 species
UGUGUGCAUAUAAAAUGAGAUAAUAACAAUCUUGUUAAUGCAAGAAAGAUGGAAGCACUAACUGCCUGAAGCAAACAGGGAAGGCUCUAAAAAAGUAGGAAUUUCUCAGCUGGAGCAGUGGGAGGCUGCAGUUCUAAGCAGAGAAAUCGCCACAUGCAAAAGAUAGUGACAAAUGAAAGUAAAUUAGGUACUCUUGGAUGGAGCGGUUUGCCAGAGGUGGAACAAUGGGCCUGAGGGGGUGAGGAAAAAGAGGUAGGAGUAUCAGAAGUUACCAAGAGAUACAUCUGGAAAGAGUCUGGAGUUGCUUCUGUUGGCCAUCAAUUUCCUGUGGUGCAGAGGGGCUACAAAUAUAAUACAGAUUAAACUCCCUGCAGGAAGUCUCUUAUGGAUAAGAACAAGUUCAGCUUCCCAUUGGGGAUGACAGAGCUGGUGCUCAGGUCAUCAACAUCCUGCUGAACCUAUGAGAAAGCAUUUGGGACAACUUGACAAUGCAUGGAUUUUAAAACAAUCUAUCACCUAUCUUUGACCAUAUGGACUAAAAUUGAUAUCCACCAAUAGACACUGAUGCCUGCAAGUCAACAGCAUAAAGAGUGGUAAAGUCAGUGCUGCAAAAGAUGAAAUGUUUUUAAUGUGGCUUUGAUAUCAGGAUGAUGCUGGCCUCAUAAAAUGAGUUUGGGAGGAUUCCCUCUUUUUCUAUCAACUGGAAUAGUUUCAGAAGGAAUGGUACCAGCUCCUCCUUGUACCUCUGGUAGAAUUCGGCCGUGAAUCCAUCUGGUCCUGGACUUUUUUUGGUUG